rnacentral:sRNA from 1 species
AUGUGCCGCUCGUACGCUCUGAUUCUGAGCACUUAGUCCAUAACCACCUGACGAUUGUUCGCCCCGUUUUGUCAGCC